rnacentral:rRNA from 1 species
CUGGCGGCGUGCCUAACACAUGCAAGUCGAACGGGGAUUUGUUUCGGCAGAAUCCUAGUGGCGAACGGGUGAGUAACGCGUAGGCAACCUGCCCUCCGGCCGGGGACAACACUCCGAAAGGGGUGCUAAUACCGGAUACGAAGUCUGUGCCGCAUGGUACGGAUUUGAAAGAUGGCCUCUAUUUAUAAGCUAUCGCCGGGGGAUGGGCCUGCGUCCGAUUAGCUGGUUGGUGGGGUAACGGCCUACCAAGGCGACGAUCGGUAGCCGGUCUGAGAGGAUGAACGGCCACAUUGGGACUGAGACACGGCCCAGACUCCUACGGGAGGCAGCAGUGGGGAAUCUUCCGCAAUGGGCGCAAGCCUGACGGAGCAACGCCGCGUGAGUGAGGAAGUUCUUCGGAACGUAAAGCUCUGUUGUUCCUGACGAACCUCCCUUCUAUCAACAACGGAGGGGACUGACGGUAGGGAACGAGGAAGCCACGGCUAACUACGUGCCAGCAGCGGC